rnacentral:misc_RNA from 1 species
GUGAGUCAUCGAAUCUUUGAACGCAUAUUGCGCCCUCUGGUUAUUCCGGGGGGCAUACCUGUCCGAGCGUCAUUACAAUAUUCAAGCACGGCUUGUUUUGUUGAGCAAUUGUUCUUUCUAUGAACAGGCUUGAAAUGCAGCGACGAGCGAUACUGAGUUUGGUGCCCGAGUGUUAUGGGUCUUUGUCACACACUCUUGUGGUCCAGCCGGCGUUCUGUCAAAUCCAUAAUUACUAUUAGGUUGACCUCGGAUCAGGUAAGAGUACCCGCUGAACUUAAGCAUAUCAAUAAGCGGAGGA